AUUGAACGCUGGCGGCAUGCCUUACACAUGCAAGUCGAACGGCAGCACGGGUGCUUGCCCCUGGUGGCGAGUGGCGAACGGGUGAGUAAUACAUCGGAACAUGUCCUGUAGUGGGGGAUAGCCCGGCGAAAGCCGGAUUAAUACCGCAUACGAUCUACGGAUGAAAGCAGGGGACCUUCGGGCCUCGCGCUAUAGGGUUGGCCGAUGGCUGAUUAGCUAGUUGGUGGGGUAAAGGCCUACCAAGGCGACGAUCAGUAGCUGGUCUGAGAGGACGACCAGCCACACGGGGACUGAGACACGGCCCAGACUCCUACGGGAGGCAGCAGUGGGGAAUUUUGGACAAUGGGCGAAAGCCUGAUCCAGCAAUGCCGCGUGUGUGAAGAAGGCCUUCGGGUUGUAAAGCACUUUUGUCCGGAAAGAAAUCCUUGGCCCUAAUACGGUCGGGGGAUGACGGUACCGGAAGAAUAAGCACCGGCUAACUACGUG
rnacentral:rRNA from 1 species